CUUUUGGUAUACACCUACAAUCCCAGGUAAUGGGAAAGCUGAAACUGACAGAUCUUUAGACAUAAGGAAUUCUGAGCUAUAGUGGGCUAUGCCAGCUGGUUGUCCACACCAAGUUUAGCUUCAGUAUGUGAGCCUAUGGGAGCAAGGCACCAUCAGGUUGCCUAAGGAAGGAUGAAUCUGCCCAGGUUGAAAACAGCAGGUUAAAGUUCCUGUGCCAGUCAGUAGCAGGACUGGUCUCAAGAGCAGCCCCUUAACAUCUAGCCUGGGAGAAAAUGGGAAAUAU
rnacentral:SRP_RNA from 1 species